CUCUACAUACGGAGGAAAAGAAACCAACUGGGAUUACCUUAGUAACGGCGAGUGAAGCGGUAAAAGCUCAAAUUUGAAAUCUGGUACUUUCAGUGCCCGAGUUGUAAUUUGUAGAAUUUGUCUUUGAUUAGGUCCUUGUCUAUGUUCCUUGGAACAGGACGUCAUAGAGGGUGAGAAUCCCGUUUGGCGAGGAUACCUUUUCUCUGUAAGACUUUUUCGAAGAGUCGAGUUGUUUGGGAAUGCAGCUCAAAGUGGGUGGUAAAUUCCAUCUAAAGCUAAAUAUUGGCGAGAGACCGAUAGCGAACAAGUACAGUGAUGGAAAGAUGAAAAGAACUUUGAAAAGAGAGUGAAAAAGUACGUGAAAUUGUUGAAAGGGAAGGGCAUUUGAUCAGACAUGGUGUUUUUUGCAUGCACUCGCCUCUCGUGGGCUUGGGCCUCUCAAAAAUUUCACUGGGCCAACAUCAAUUCUGGCAGCAGGAUAAAUCAUUAAGAAUGUAGCUACUUCGGUAGUGUUAUAGCUUUUUGGAAUACUGUUAGCCGGGAUUGAGGACUGCGCUUCGGCAAGGAUGUUGGCAUAAUGGUUAAAUGCCGCCCGUC
rnacentral:rRNA from 1 species